UGACUUUAGACGAUCGUGAUUUUUUUUAUUAUACUUAUAUCGAAGAGAUAAGAUUUUCUUCUCCCUCUUUCUUCUUCUUCCUUUCUCUCGCAACAAAAUACUUGAACUAAAAAAAAAAAAAACUCAGACCAAAACCCUUUCUUCCCGGACUCUCUUUCGUCUUUUUUUCCUAUAUCUGCAGUUUCUCUAUCGCUACUCUUCUUUUUCAUCUCAGUCUCUCACUCCUUAUUCUUGAUUUCUUCUUGUCAUCCUGUUUUAGAUUUAGAUUUUGUUUCUGAUUCAUGUUAUUAUUGGAAGCGAUGAAGAACAGCUAAAACCCAAAACACAGACUCUUCUCUAAACAUCAUCAUUGGUUGGAGAAGAUCUGGAUCUGGGUGAUAUGGGGUUUACUACCAUCUGUAAAUGAUGUAUCAUCAGUUUUGUGAUGAGCCAAUUGUUGUGGUUGGUACUAACUGGGGUUUUGGUGAUUGUAAUCCAACUAAAGCUGUUGAUGAAUAUGUUAUUAUAAAACCAAAAAUGCAGAGUCCAACCAAGAAGCAGAGAAGGUGGAUCCAAGAUUGAAGGCUAUUGUGGAGAGGAUGCUAAGGAAGUGCAUCUUGGACCAAAAAUUCAGUUGAAUUUGAGAAGAUGACACUGGGGAGUGGUCUGUUGUCUGUUUGAGACAAUUCAGUGAAUUUAUGCUAGAGCAGGCGAGCCGCAAAAACUGCAGUAAAAAGAUAGAUGGUAAAGUUGAAAGGAAAGGUUCUGAAGAUGAAGCAAAUGGCAGAAGGGGAAAUACUUGUGUCAUAUCUAUGACAAGAACAAGCUUAUAAACAUUCAGCUAAAUCAUAACGAUUAUGGGGUCGACAAGUAUGAUAUCAGAAAUAGUUUUGGUCAUUUCGGUAUAGCAGUUGAGAAUUUAACACUUACGAAAGAAGCACUUAGGUUUACUGAAGUGAUGGGAAAAGCUGGUCCUGUCAAAGGUGGCAGUACUGUAAUUGUGUUUAUUGAAGAUCCAGAUGGUUACAGGUUUGACUUUUAGAGAGGGACCUACAUCAGAGCCCCUAUGCCAAGUAAUGCUUCGUUAGGUGAUCCUGACCGCGCCCUAAAUUACUAUGAGAAGUACAACACUUCGGUGGAGGGAUGGUCUACAAUUUGAGUCAUGGGAGGCUCAAAGGCCUGCAUUACAAGCAGCUAUUAAGCUACCAACACGCAAACUUAUUAAUGGUACAUUGCUGCUUUAACCAAAAGCUUGAUAUUGUGAUUUCAGAAGACAUGGACUAUUAGUGGGCGUCCUUAAUUGAAAGAUGCUUGCUAAGAAAUCCAACUCUUUACCUCUAGCCAAGGCCCAAAUGAGUGAAGCUUUCACCUGCGUACACAAAGCACAGGGCAUACGUCUUUCUUCCUUCCAUUCCAUGAGCACGAGGUACGAUUACUGAAAAUCUAAUGUCAAUACAUACACUCCAUUUCAGUUGUAUUAGACCUUCAAAUGUUAAAUAAUCUGAGAUUAUUACCAGAUACAUCAUUCAUUUCGUGACUCAAGUUCAUGGCCUCAUAGCCUUAUCCUUAAACUUUAGUCUUGCAGUACUAGGCGUCCCUGGUAUGGAAGAACUAAAGUUAAUUGGAACAGAGGUAUUCAUACUUGCCCUCUUUUCAUCUGUGCAAUGAAAGAGUUAAUGUAUUUCAGCUUAAUUAGACAGUAUGGGCAGGUAUUCAUGUAUUUGUAUUCCAUUCC